AAAAAAAAACGAAGACCCCGUGCCCAUCGAUAGACUUUUUCAGCUUAUAUUGUUCUGUUUUUGUGGGCAGUUCGUGGACAGAAUCUUUACAGUAAGCUGCAUUACAUGGUGUGGUCUAUCAUUCAUACCUGGGUCUCAACUCUCCCAAGAAUGUUGAAGGUCGUCACAAGGGCGUCAGCCAGAAAGACCUAGGACCACUGAUUGACAGGGCAUGUGCCAAGUGCGGUCACGAUGGACUU